rnacentral:tRNA from 1 species
CAAAACGUAGUUUAAACAAAACAUUCCACUUACACUGGAAAAAUUUUCUGUUAAAACCAGACCAUUUUGA